rnacentral:rRNA from 1 species
UACGAAGGGGGCUAGCGUUGCUCGGAAUCACUGGGCGUAAAGGGUGCGUAGGCGGGUCUUUAAGUCAGAGGGGAAAUCCUGGAGCUCAACUCCAGAACUGCCUUUGAUACUGAAGAUCUUGAGUUCGGGAGAGGUGAGUGGAACUGCGAGUGUAGAGGUGAAAUUCGUAGAUAUUCGCAAGAACCCCAGUGGCGAAGGCGGCUCACUGGCCCGAUACUGACGCUGAGGCACGAAAGCGUGGGGAGCAAACAGG